GACGAACGCUGGCGGCGUGCUUAACACAUGCAAGUCGAACGGAAAGGCCCUGCUUUUGUGGGGUGCUCGAGUGGCGAACGGGUGAGUAACACGUGAGUAACCUGCCCUUGACUUUGGGAUAACUUCAGGAAACUGGGGCUAAUACCGGAUAGGAGCUCCUGCUGCAUGGUGGGGGUUGGAAAGUUUCGGCGGUUGGGGAUGGACUCGCGGCUUAUCAGCUUGUUGGUGGGGUAGUGGCUUACCAAGGCUUUGACGGGUAGCCAGCCUGAGAGGGUGACCGGCCACAAUGGGACUGAGAGACGGCCCAGACUCCUACGGGAGGCAGCAGUGGGGAAUAUUGCACAAUGGGCGGAAGCCUGAUGAAGCAACGCCGCGUGCGGGAUGACGGCCUUCGGGUUGUAAACCGCUUUCGCCUGUGACGAAGCGUGAGUGACGGUAAUGGGUAAAGAAGCACCGGCUAACUACGUG
rnacentral:rRNA from 1 species